rnacentral:rRNA from 1 species
CCCUACCAUGCAAGUCGAGCGGUAACAGAACCAGCUUGCUGGAUGCUGACGAGCGGCGGACGGGUGAGUAAUGCAUAGGAAUCUGCCCGAUAGUGGGGGAUAACCUGGGGAAACCCAGGCUAAUACCGCAUACGUCCUACGGGAGAAAGGGGGCUCCGGCUCCCGCUAUGGGAUGAGCCUAUGUCGGAUUAGCUAGUUGGUGAGGUAACGGCUCACCAAGGCCACGAUCCGUAGCUGGUCUGAGAGGAUGAUCAGCCACAUCGGGACUGAGACACGGCCCGAACUCCUACGGGAGGCAGCAGUGGGGAAUAUUGGACAAUGGGGGCAACCCUGAUCCAGCCAUGCCGCGUGUGUGAAGAAGGCCCUCGGGUUGUAAAGCACUUUCAGCGAGGAAGAACGCCUAGCGGUUAAUACCCGCUAGGAAAGACAUCACUCGCAGAAGAAGCACCGGCUAACUCCGUGCCAGCAGCCGCGGUAAUACGGAGGGUGCAAGCGUUAAUCGGAAUUACUGGGCGUAAAGCGCGCGUAGGUGGCUUGAUAAGCCGGUUGUGAAAGCCCCGGGCUCAACCUGGGAACGGCAUCCGGAACUUUCAAGCUAAAUUGCAGAAAGGAAGGUAGAAUUCCCGGUUACCGGUAAAUGCUAAAAUCGGGAGGAAUAC